UGGGAACAAGAAGACACUCAUGUAGGAGUC
rnacentral:piRNA from 1 species